UUGGUCAUUUCGUAUCAGCUCAGACUUCACAUUUCAAGAGUUUGAUGCCACCGUCUCCGGUGGGGUCUCUGGCGGGGGCCGAGGCCGCCCGCCAAAGCAACAUGGAGGGUACACAUGGGGUGGGAGGUUGGGCCGCUGGGACCCUCGCUCGGUAAUGAUCCUUCCGCAGGUUCACCUACGGAAA
rnacentral:misc_RNA from 1 species